AUCGCGGCGUAGAGACAAGCAGUAAAUACCGACAAUGCGUCAAUGAACGAUGAACGUGCCGUUGCUCGCGUGAUUCCUAUCCGAAACUUUCGGAGAACUUCAACUUCGACACCAUCCGGAACAUCCGGUCGUCACCAGAACUUUCUUCAUGGCUAUAUACGAUACAUGUCGAGGAUCUUACGACUUGAAAAAUUUCGAAAAGUUGAUUUUAAGAAGACGAACGAAUUUUAAGAGAGAUUUCCAGUUUGGAGAGGAUACUUCAUCUAAUACGAAAAAUAACGAAGUACAGGAAUUUUACUAUCAUGGAACUUUUACGCGUUUGCUGAUGUAGCUGGAUCAUUUUACUUGUGAAAUUAAAAGGAAACAAAAGUAAUUAAUUACGAUGUAUAUGAAUAAUUACGAAGUAAAUAAAAUUUAAUGAAACGAAAAUAUCAUAUAAAGAUAAUAAUUGGAAAAACUAGGAAAAUCAUUUUUAUUCGAAAGAAGCUUAUUUUGCUCUCUUUUAAUUAAAAUGUCUUAUCUGGCACUUUACGGUUUUCGUAAUAUGAUACAAUAUUUGAAGUUCCCAGUGUUUCGUUUCUUUCAAGCAAUGUUAUAUCAUACAAGCUGUUGCGAUAUUCUAACUUAAUAUUGUAAAUUGAAUGAAGAAAAACGGAAACAGUAUUGAAUUAAUAAA
rnacentral:misc_RNA from 1 species